UACGUAGGUGGCAAGCGUUGUCCGGAUUUACUGGGCGUAAAGAGCGCGCAGGCGGUUGUGCAAGUCGCGUGUGAAAGCCCCCAGCUCAACUGGGGAGGGUCACGCGAUACUGUUCGACUUGAAGGCAGGAGAGGGAAGUGGAAUUCCCGGUGUAGUGGUGAAAUGCGUAGAUAUCGGGAGGAACACCAGUGGCGAAGGCGACUUCCUGGCCUGUUCUUGACGCUGAGGCGCGAAAGCUAGGGUAGCAAACGGG
rnacentral:rRNA from 1 species